UGCCAGCAGCCGCGGUAACACGGGGGGCGCAAGCGUUAUUCGGAAUUAUUGGGCGUAAAGCGCGCGUAGGUGGUUUGUUAAGUCGGAUGUGAAAGCCCUGGGCUCAACCUGGGAAUUGCAUUCGAUACUGGCUAACUAGAAUGCGAGAGAGGGAGGUAGAAUUCCACGUGUAGCGGUGAAAUGCGUAGAUAUGUGGAGGAAUACCGGUGGCGAAGGCGGCCUCCUGGCUCGACACUGACGCUGAGGUGCGAAAGCGUGGGGAGCAAACAGGAUUAGAUA
rnacentral:rRNA from 1 species